rnacentral:misc_RNA from 1 species
GAUGAAGAACGUAGCGAAAUGCGAUAAGUAAUGUGAAUUGCAGAAUUCAGUGAAUCAUCGAAUCUUUGAACGCACAUUGCGCCCGCCAGUAUUCUGGCGGGCAUGCCUGUUCGAGCGUCAUUUCAACCAUCAAGCCCCCGGCUUAUGUUGGGGACCUGCGGCUGCCGCAGGCCCUGAAAACCAGUGGCGGGCUCGCUGUCACACCGAGCGUAGUAGAUUUUCAUCUCGCUCAGGGCGUGCUGCGGGUUCCGGCCGUAAAAAGCCUUAUUUACCCAAGGUUGACCUCGGAUCAGGUAGGAAGACCCGCUGAACUUAAGCAUAUCAAUAAGCGGAGGA